UACAUAGGUCUCAAGCGUUGUUCGGAUUCAUUGGGCGUAAAGGGUGCGUAGGUGGCGGGGUAAGUCAGGUGUGAAAUCUCGGGGCUCAACCCCGAAACUGCACUUGAUACUGCCUUGCUCGAGUACUGGAGAGGAGAUUGGAAUUUACGGUGUAGCAGUGAAAUGCGUAGAUAUCGUAAGGAAGACCAGUGGCGAAGGCGAAUCUCUGGACAGUUACUGACACUGAGGCACGAAGGCCAGGGGAGCAAACGGG
rnacentral:rRNA from 1 species